UACGAAGGGGGCUAGCGUUGCUCGGAAUCACUGGGCGUAAAGGGUGCGUAGGCGGGUCUUUUAAGUCAGGGGUGAAAUCCUGGAGCUCAACUCCAGAACUGCCUUUGAUACUGAAGUAUCUUGAGUUCGGGAGAGGUGAGUGGAACUGCGAGUGUAGAGGUGAAAUUCGUAGAUAUUCGCAAGAACACCAGUGGCGAAGGCGGACUCACUGGCCCGUAAGUCGACGCUGAGGCACGAAAGCGUGGG
rnacentral:rRNA from 1 species